UACGUAGGGGGCAAGCGUUGUCCGGAAUCAUUGGGCGUAAAGAGCGUGUAGGCGGUCCUGUAAGUCCGCUGUGAAAGUCAAGGGCUCAACCCUUGAAUGCCGGUGGAUACUGCAGGACUAGAGUCCGGAAGAGGCGAGUGGAAUUCCUGGUGUAGCGGUGAAAUGCGCAGAUAUCAGGAGGAACACCGAUGGCGAAGGCAGCCCCCUGGGUCAAGAUUGACGCUCAUGCACGAAAGCGUGGGGAGCAAACAGG
rnacentral:rRNA from 1 species